GUGUUUGCUUUGACAGCACAUAUACUAAAAUUGGAAUGAUACAGAAAAGAUUAGCAUGGCCCC
rnacentral:snRNA from 1 species